AAAUCCGUAGCGGCGGCAGAGACGUCGCCUUCCCGGGUUCGAUUCCCGCUCG
rnacentral:tRNA from 13 species